GCACCGAUGGUUCAAUGGUAGAAUAGCUGCCUUCCAAGCAGUUGACCCGAGUUCGAUUCUCGGUCGGUGCA
rnacentral:tRNA from 1 species